rnacentral:SRP_RNA from 1 species
GCUGGGCGUGGUGGCGCACACCUGUAAUCCCAGCUACUCAGGAGGCUGAGGCAGGAGAAUCGCUUGAGCCCGGGAGGCAGAUGUUGUAGACUGCGCCACGGCACACUCCAGCCUGGGCAACAGAGCAAUACUCUGUCUCAA